GUACUGAUGAAGAGUCCCAAACUAGGACGAAACAGCUAGCUGUCCAGUAC
rnacentral:hammerhead_ribozyme from 1 species